rnacentral:rRNA from 1 species
GAGUUUGAUCAUGGCUCAGGAUGAACGCUAGCGGCAGGCUUAAUACAUGCAAGUCGAGGGGCAGCAGCUUUAUAGCAAUAUAGAGGCUGGCGACCGGCAAACGGGUGCGGAACACGUACACAACCUUCCUUGAAUAGGGGGAUAGCCCAUAGAAAUGUGGAUUAAUACCCCGUAAUAUAGCGGUGUGGCAUCACACUGUUAUUAUAGUUUCGGCGAUUCGAGAUGGGUGUGCGGCUGAUUAGGUAGUUGGCGGGGUAAAGGCCCACCAAGCCUUCGAUCAGUAGCUGAUGUGARAKCAUGAUCAGCCACACGGGCWCUGAGACACGGGCCCGACUCCUAYGGGAGGCAGCAGUAAGGAAUAUUGGUCAAUGGACGCAAGUCUGAACCAKCCAUGCCSCGUGAARGAUGAAKGUCC